CUUUUAUACAGGUAACAAGUUCAAAUAGGUGCAAUUAAUACAGGUAAAGAGGGCAGAAUAAGAGGGCUUCUUAAAGAAAAAAUAACAGGUCUGUGUGAGCCAGAAUUCUUGCUGGUUGGUAGGUGUUCAAAUACUUAUUUGCAGCAGUAACAUACAAAUAAAUUAUU